rnacentral:rRNA from 1 species
AUUGAACGCUGGCGGCAGGCCUAACACAUGCAAGUCGAGCGAGCGGCGGACGGGUGAGUAAUGUCUGGGAAACUGCACGAUGGAGGGGGAUAACUCCUGGAAACGGUAGCUAAUACCGCAUACCAUCAGAUGUGCGCAGAUGGGAUGUGCUAGUAGGGUGGGUAACGGCUCACCUAGGCGACGAUCCCUAGCUGGGCUGAGAGGAUGACCAGCCACACUGGAAAUGAGACACGGUCCAGACUCCUCCGGGAGGCAGCAGUGGGGAAUAUUGCACAAUGGGCGCAAGCCUGAUGCAGCCAUGCCGCGUGUGUGAAGAAGGCCUUCGGGUUGUAAAGCACUUUCAGCGGGGAGGCGUUACCCGCAGAAGAAGCACCGGCUAACUCCGUGCCAGCAGCCGCGGUAAUAC